rnacentral:rRNA from 1 species
UACGGAGGGUGCAAGCGUUAUCCGGAUUCACUGGGUUUAAAGGGUGCGUAGGCGGGUAUGUAAGUCAGCGGUGAAAUCCCCGAGCUUAACUUGGGAACUGCCGUUGAUACUAUAUAUCUUGAAUGUUGUGGAGGUUAGCGGAAUAUGUCAUGUAGCGGUGAAAUGCUUAGAUAUGACAUAGAACACCUAUUGCGAAGGCAGCUAACUACGCGAAUAUUGACGCUGAGGCACGAAAGCGUGGGGAUCAAACAGG